GUCAAUUGGGUUUAUGAAAUAACCCGAAUUUUUAUUUUCAAAGAUUUUUCAUUUAAAUUUAAUAAACUGACAGCGUGGAAAAUGUAUUUAAUUAUUUAAAUGCAAAUUAAUAAUUCGCACUGUGAUAAACCGAACUGAAAAAUCAGUUAAAAAUUCGAAAAUCAAAUGCAAACCAAAGAUUCGAACCGAAUCGAACUGAAUCGACCCAAAUCAUCUAGAAACAUCUUCUUUCUUUUAUCUUCACGCUAAACUCAUCUCACUCACUCAGUCCAGCACCUUCUGACCACCACGCAGCGCCACCAGACGCCACCAGCCAGCCUCGUCCUCCUCUCUUCUUCUUCUUCUCCUUUCUUCUUCUUUUCUUUCUUUUCUUUCUUUUUCUUCCCUGCGCUUGUGACUCCACUGCUGGCAGAAGCGGAUCGUGCCUCCACCAGCUCGAGCGGAGCUGUCGCGCGCCAGCACCACUCCUCCGCCGCUCCUCGUCGCAUCACGCCAGCAGCGGCGCUCCACCCUCUGCCAGAUCGCGCAUCGCGCAGCGCACAGCAGCCCCUAACGCAGCACGAUCUCCAGCUCGUCAAGCCGCCACCAGCCUUCUGCAGCAACGCCACAGCCUGCCGCUGCCACUGCCGUCGCUUCAGCGCGCCUCCAACAGGUCCGAUCUAUCGCCGCCGCCGCUUCUCUGCCACUGCCAGUCAGAUCGCGCCCCCCACCUACAGUCCCAGGGCGUGUA
rnacentral:lncRNA from 1 species